GGUUUGUAUGAGCAUGUUGGAUCCUUGCUUGCGCAUCGACAAUGUCUCAUGCAUUCCAUUUCAGUUGUUGCCCUCAAGUUUUACUUGGUCGUUGCGUGUUUCCUGUGCUAAAUACCUAACAUGAAGGCAUUCCAUUUGAUGCGAACACUAUAUCCACCUUUCGAUGCCCCCCAAGAGGAGUGCGUUUUGUUGGUGGACGUCAAAUCAUGCAUUGUGUUUCACAUCCUUUGCAUGCUUGUUCAUGCUUUGGGUUGUUGACCCAUGAUGUUAUGUUUGAUUUCUUGGAUAUGGAAAAUUAUGAGGGUAUGGGUCUUUGGCCUUUAACAACCCCAAAAUAGGCGUUCGACGCUAUAAGCGAACGACUGUCGUGUUUGUGUUGGACGAGUCCUUUGUGGACUUUGCUCAUACGGCACACAUGUCGGUGAGGAA
rnacentral:misc_RNA from 1 species